rnacentral:rRNA from 1 species
CCCUUAGAUGUUCUGGGCUGCACGCGCGCUACACUGAUGCGUUCAACGAGUUUUUAGCUUAUCUGAUAAGAUUGGCUAAUCUUCUGAAAACGCAUCGUGAUGGGGAUAGAUUAUUGUAAUUAUUAAUCUUCAACGAGGAAUUCCUAGUAGGUGUGAAUCAUCAGUUCACGCCGAUUACGUCCCUGCCCUUUGUACACACCGCCCGUCGCUCCUACCGAUUGAGUGAUCCGGCGAAUAAUUCGGACCGGUGAGCUUCCAGGUUUACCUGGCUGCUUGCUGGAAAGUCUAGUGAACCUUAUCACUUAGAGGAAGGAGAAGUCGUAACA